GAUGAACGCUAGCGGCAGGCUUAAUACAUGCAAGUCGCGGGGCAGCAGGGGUGUAGCAAUACAUCUGCUGGCGACCGGCAAACGGGUGCGUAACACGUACGCAACCUUCCCGUUACUGUGGCAUAGCCCAGGGAAACUUGGAUUAAUACCACAUAUUAUAUAGAGAGGGCAUCCUUUUUAUAUCAAGGCUUCGGCGGUAACGGAUGGGCGUGCGGUUGAUUAGGUAGUUGGUGGGGUAACGGCCCACCAAGCCUACGAUCAAUAGCUGAUGUGAGAGCAUGAUCAGCCACACGGGCACUGAGACACGGGCCCGACUCCUACGGGAGGCAGCAGUAAGGAAUAUUGGGCAAUGGACGAAAGUCUGACCCAGCCAUGCCGCGUGAAGGAUUAAGGUCCUCUGGAUUGUAAACUUCUUUUCUCUGGGGCGAAAACCAGCUAUUCUUAGCUAUUUGACAGUACCAGAGGAAUAAGCACCGGCUAACUCCGUGCCAGCAGCCGCCGUAAGAC
rnacentral:rRNA from 1 species